AAGUCGUAACAAGGUUUCCGUAGGUGAACCUGCGGAAGGAUCAUUAACACGUAUCCAAACGUUAACCCCCCUGUGAACCUUCAAUGUGCUCGUACACUUUGUCAAAGCGAGGCAAUCCCUGGUAAAUCAUCGCCGAACAGUUUUGAUUCUGGGACUUCCUCAAAGAGUGUGCAUGUUGCGCGAGGCAAGUGGCCUGGCAUUCAUUAGCUGUGUAAGGAUGACGCAGUAACGAUCGUUGGAGGCCGACACGGCCGACGACCGGGUCACCGGGCGCAAGCCCCUUUAUCACCACUUAAUGCAUGACAGACGCGCCAGCGCUUAAUUGUGCGGCGACCAAAAACCGAACAACUGUUAACAAUGGAUAUCUUGGUUCUC
rnacentral:misc_RNA from 1 species